rnacentral:rRNA from 1 species
UGGGGAAUUGUUCGCAAUGGGCGCAAGCCUGACGACGCAACGCCGCGUGGAGGAUGACGGUCUUCGGAUUGUAAACUCCUGUUGCCCGGGACGAAUGGCGUCGACCUAAGACGUCGGCGAAUGACGGUACCGGGUGAGGAAGCCCCGGCUAACUCUGUGCCAGCAGCCGCGGUAAUACAGAGGGGGCAAGCGUUGUUCGGAAUUACUGGGCGUAAAGGGCGCGUAGGCGGCCUGUUAAGUCGAACGUGAAAUCCCCGGGCUCAACCCGGGAAUGGCGUCCGAGACUGGCAGGCUGGAAUCCGGGAGAGGGAUGCGGAAUUCCAGGUGUAGCGGUGAAAUGCGUAGAUAUCUGGAGGAACACCGGUGGCGAAGGCGGCAUCCUGGACCGGCAUUGACGCUGAGGCGCGAAAGCCAGGGGAGCAAACGG